rnacentral:pre_miRNA from 1 species
GGCGGGGGGAUGGGGUCCCUCAGCCCAGAUUGCAAGAGGGUGCAGGCCAGGCCAAGGGGCCCCACUGAUACACG